rnacentral:SRP_RNA from 1 species
AGGCAGGGAGGAUCGGGGUGCCAGCCGUGCCCCAUACUGGAAAUCGGCUUUAUGCCAGGAUCAGUAACUGUCGGGUAAAUCCUCGGGUAGGAGGUACCCGCUUGUCUUGCUGAAAUGAAAUCAUGCCGUGUCGGAUGGCCAUGAGCAGAACAUUGCGCGAAGGCGCGGUGCUAAACACUGCGCACUGUCGAAAUGGGUGAGGUCCGGGAGGGAGCAACCCUAAGGCAGCGUAGCCAUGCUAGCACGUCUACGUGGUGGAUCUUGCAGGGCUUGAGAG